rnacentral:rRNA from 1 species
UACGUAGGGGCCUAGCGUUGUCCGGAUUUAUUGGGCGUAAAGAGCUCGUAGGCGGUUCGGCAAGUCGGAUGUGAAAUCUCCACGCUCAACGUGGAGGGGCCAUUCGAAACUGCCGUGACUCGAGUCCGGUAGGGGAGUGUGGAAUUCCCGGUGUAGCGGUGAAAUGCGCAGAUAUCGGGAGGAACACCUGUGGCGAAAGCGGCUCACUGGACCACAACUGACGCUGAGGCGCGAAAGCUAGGGGAGCAAACAGG